UACGUAGGGUGCGAGCGUUGUCCGGAAUUACUGGGCGUAAAGCGUGCGCAGGCGGUUUUGUAAGACUGUCGUGAAAUCCCCGGGCUUAACCUGGGAAUUGCGAUGGUGACUGCAAGGCUAGAGUUUGGCAGAGGGGGGUAGAAUUCCACGUGUAGCAGUGAAAUGCGUAGAGAUGUGGAGGAACACCGAUGGCGAAGGCAGCCCCCUGGGUCAAAACUGACGCUCAUGCACGAAAGCGUGGGGAGCAAACAGG
rnacentral:rRNA from 1 species